UGUGAAUUGCCUUAACGAGAGC
rnacentral:miRNA from 1 species